rnacentral:misc_RNA from 1 species
GAUGCCCACACUUUAGUACGAGUCUUAUGCCACAAGAAAGACAGGGAGGCUUCCAAGUUCCUAAAACGGCAAUAUCAGCUUCCCAUGUCUUCAGAGUACGAUGACACUCCAGAUCGGGAUUCAACUUUGAGAUCACCUCUUAUAUCAGAUCUCCUUAAGCGAAGUUACUCGACUAAUUGGACCAACAAGGGCCACAGCAGUUUCAAAUCAAUAAAGAAGAAACUUCAAGAAGCAACAUCUGAGAUCAGG